rnacentral:lncRNA from 1 species
CGCUUUAAGAUUUACAAAACACCUUCCACCUAACAACCCCAGAGGGAGAUGUGCAAGGGUCAUAAGCUUCAUGUAGGACCCAGUCAGGCAAUAGGCUUUAUUAAGGGUCUCCUCUGUGCCGGGUUCUGCGCUAAAAGAGAGGGCAAUGACCGCCCCCGCGCUGGAAGGCCUCCCAGACUGCUGUGGGGGCGACGUGCAAACGGCUCUGUACCAGGAAGCCAUUCACAGAGAGGUAAUCCACAGAGAGGAGGCGCUAACGUCUGUCAGUCAGUAAACAUUUACGAGAUGCCUUCCGUGUACCAGGCUCUGUGCUAAGCGCUGAGGAUGCAAAAAGAGGAGAAGAACAGCCUGUCCUCGGGAAGCUCUCCCUGGAACUGGGGAAACAAGUCCGCAAUACAAAUUAGCGUUAAGGAGAGUCGGGAAAAACGUCUAAGACCUGGAAUUUUAGUUUAGUUUCUUUGAAAAGAAACCCGUGAGGUCAGGAGGAGAAGAGGAGGAGCAAGGACAUGAGGAACAGUCAGGGAAAAUGCCCUGAGCUGGAAAAUGGAGAGUCUUUCUUGUGUGACGGGGAUUAAGGCUUACGGAAAGGCCAGGGAGAAGGGGGUUUGUAAAAGUGUAGGAAGAGUGGAAUGUGUGGGAAUGCCCGAGGAUUUUAUGUUUCAUUUUAGAAUUGGUAGGGAGCCACUGGAAUUUACUGCGUACAGUCAGACCUGUGCUUCAGGAAUAUUGCUGGAUGGAAUGGAGAGACUACCUAAGGGAAACCACUGAGGAACCCUACAAGGGUGGUGGUGGUUUCCAAGGAGAGACGGGAUAUGGGGAGGAGAAGUUGUAAAGAUGAUAUCAAGAAGCUUCAGUGCAAAGCUUGGAUAACGUUGGAGGAGUAAUGGGUGACAAUUAUAUUGUAAGCUUUGUCAUCUGGGAGGAUGGUGGUAUCCUUGUCAGGAAUAGAGAAAUUUGGAAAGGUAAAGGGUUUCGGAGGAAAGAUAAUAAGUCCAGUUUGGAACAUGUUGAAUUUAAGUUGUAUUAAAGAUUGAGAUGUCCAAUAAUGAAUUAGAAACAGGAGACUGACAGUCAAGAGAGAGGUUAAGGCUAGAUAAGUACAUCUGAGAAUCAUAAGCAUUAGAAAAUAACUUAAUCUGUGGAAAAUGAUAUCACCAAGUUAAAGAGUGUGAGAAAGAAGAAAAGAGGGUCAGAAAUAGCACUGUGGAACACCUUUGAUUAAUUAGGGGCAUGACCCAAAUGAAGAUCCAGUAAAGGAGACUGAGAAGGAAUAGCCAAAAAAUCGGAGCAGAAUUAGGAGAGAGUAGUGUCCUGAAAACUUUGAGAGUAUGUAGAAGAGGGUUACAAAAAAUUCAAGAAGGUAUGAGGAUUGAGAAAGAGACAUUCAAUUUGGCAGUAAAAAGGUCCUUGGUAACUUUAGAGUGAGCUUUUCCGCUGAAGGAAGUCAGAAAAAAAUUAAAGGAAAGGAAGUGGGAGCUCUUUUUGUAGAAGGCCUCCUCAAGGAGUUUAGCCUCAAAAAGGGAAGAGUGAUAUUGGAGGUUAGCCAGCUGUGAUAGGCGGAUCGUGAAGAUUUUUGAGAAUGGGCAAGUCUUGGGCAUGUUUGCAAGCAGGGAAGCAGCCAGUAAACAAGGAGGGAUUAAAAAAUAAGGGAGAGGGAG